GCAGCAGUGGGGAAUAUUGCACAAUGGGCGCAAGCCUGAUGCAGCCAUGCCGCGUGUGUGAAGAAGGCCUUCGGGUUGUAAAGCACUUUCAGCGAGGAGGAAGGUGGUGAACUUAAUACGUUCAUCAAUUGACGUUACUCGCAGAAGAAGCACCGGCUAACUCCGUGCCAGCAGCCGCGGUAAUACGGAGGGUGCAAGCGUUAAUCGGAAUUACUGGGCGUAAAGCGCACGCAGGCGGUUUGUUAAGUCAGAUGUGAAAUCCCCGGGCUCAACCUGGGAACUGCAUUUGAAACUGGCAAGCUAGAGUCUCGUAGAGGGGGGUAGAAUUCCAGGUGUAGCGGUGAAAUGCGUAAAGAUCUGGAGGAAUACCGGUGGCGAAGGCGGCCCCCUGGACGAAGACUGACGCUCAGGUGCGAAAGCGUGGGGAGCAAAC
rnacentral:rRNA from 1 species